AUCAAAUUUAAGUUGUCAAACAGAUUUUCUAGGUGGCAAAAGAUCUGGACUAUUUCUACUUUGAUCUCAUUUCUUGUAUUUCUUUGAGAAUGGUUUGUCCUCCUAAUGGUGUCUGGAGCUCUACCCCUCUGCCCUAUCAGAUGCUCAGAAGUCCAUCCAGCUCGCCCCUGAUUGGCCAAAGGGAUACUUCCUCAAGGGGAGUGCACUGAUGGGGUUAAAGCUGUAUGGUGAAGCAGAAAGGGCCAUGGAGCAGGUGAUAAAGCUGGAUCAGGACUGAGAUGAGUCCUCCACUGAGGUCUUCAACUGCAAGUGGUGGACCUCUCCUCCCUCUCAGGACUCCAGUGGUGGACCUCUCCUCCCCUCCCCUCAGGACUCCAGUGGUGGACCUCUCCUCCCCUCAGGACUCUACUGGGUCCCCCUGUCCCUCUCACUGGGUGGGGAACGUCACCAUGGACCUCACUGGGAAACACAUAUGGGACCU
ensembl:lncRNA